GUGGGGAAUCUUCCGCAAUGGACGAAAGUCUGACGGAGCAACGCCGCGUGAGUGGAGAAGGUUUUCGGAUCGUAAAGCUCUUUCGUUAGGGACGAACGUGCUCUUUGUGAAUAAUGAGGAGUAAUGACGGUACCUAAAUAAGAAGCCACGGCUAACUACGUGCCAGCAGCCGCGGUAAUACGUAGGUGGCAAGCGUUGUCCGGAAUUAUUGGGCGUAAAGCGCGCGCAGGCGGGAUAUCAAGUCUGUCUUAAAAGUGCGAGGCUCAACCUCGUGAGGGGACAGAAACUGGUAUUCUUGAGUGUCGGAGAGGAAAGUGGAAUUCCAAGUGUAGCGGUGAAAUGCGUAGAGAUUUGGAAGAACACCAGUGGCGAAGGCGACUUUCUGGACGAUGUCUGACGCUGAGGCGCGAAAGCUAGGGGAGCGAACGGGAUUAGAAACCCUAGUAGUCC
rnacentral:rRNA from 1 species